rnacentral:rRNA from 1 species
CAAGUCGAACGGGGGUAGCAAUACCCUAGUGGCGAACGGGUGAGUAAAGCAUCGGAACGUACCCAGUCGUGGGGGAUAACGUAGCGAAAGUUACGCUAAUACCGCAUACGUCCUGAGGGAGAAAGCGGGGGACCGUAAGGCCUCGCGCGAUUGGAGCGGCCGAUGUCGGAUUAGCUAGUUGGUGAGGUAAAAGCUCACCAAGGCGACGAUCCGUAGCUGGUCUGAGAGGAUGAUCAGCCACACUGGGACUGAGACACGGCCCAGACUCCUACGGGAGGCAGCAGUGGGGAAUUUUGGACAAUGGGGGAAACCCUGAUCCAGCCAUGCCGCGUGAGUGAAGAAGGCCUUCGGGUUGUAAAGCUCUUUCGGACGGAAAGAAAUCGCACCGGUAAAUAAUCUGUGUGGAUGACGGUACCGUAAGAAGAAGCACCGGCUAACUACGUGCCAGCAGCCGCGGU